rnacentral:sRNA from 1 species
CAGCAUUUGCCUUGCCUAUAAGUGGGCUGGAUAAGCCUGUGUUUACAGACCCUCCAGUUAAGACAAAAUUUGGAUAUCAUAUUAUUAUGGUUGAAGGGAGAAAAUAAAACUGAACAGAAGACUGAAAAAAAAAAUAAAUAAAUAAACGCCGCUUUUACCAAGAUAAAUGAAAGCAUGUGAAACUGGGUCUUAAGAUCUUAGGAUGUGUCCCCAACAGGC